UACGAAGGGGGCUAGCGUUGCUCGGAUUGACUGGGCGUAAAGGGCGCGUAGGCGGUUCGUACAGUCAGACGUGAAAUUCCUGGGCUCAACCUGGGGGCUGCGUUUGAUACGUGCGGACUUGAGUGCGGAAGAGGGUCGUGGAAUUCCCAGUGUAGAGGUGAAAUUCGUAGAUAUUGGGAAGAACACCGGUGGCGAAGGCGGCUCACUGGCUCGUAUCUGACGCUCAGGCGCGACAGCGUGGGGAUCAAACAGG
rnacentral:rRNA from 1 species